rnacentral:rRNA from 1 species
AUACGGAGGGUGCAGGCGUUACUCGGAAUCACUGGGCGUAAAGCGCGCGCAGGCGGUCUUUUAAGUUGGAUGUGAAAGCCUACGGCUCAACCGUAGAACUGCAUCCAAAACUAUUAGACUAGAGUGUGGGAGAGGAAGAUGGAAUUAGUUGUGUAGGGGUAAAAUCCGUAGAGAUAACUAGGAAUACCAAAAGCGAAGGCAAUCUUCUGGAACACUACUGACGCUGAGGCGCGAAAGCGUGGGGAGCAAACAGGAUUAGAUACCCUAGUAGUCC